ACGAAACAUCAGACUACUAUUAUCAUGGGCAAGGAGAGGACCAACGUCAACAUGACCGUCGUCGGCUACUACUAGACUCUCUCAUCAGAUGAUGGAGGGCUAGUGCAACACGGACACGUCUCGGCUUCUGUACACGGACACGACUUGGACACGGACAACACGAUGCAACGAGAACAACCCCAAAAAAUACACCUCAACAGUUUAAUUAAUGUUCGCAACUUUCAAAUAAAUAAAAAUUUACCGUAUUA